rnacentral:rRNA from 1 species
UACAGAGGUCUCAAGCGUUGUUCGGAUUCAUUGGGCGUAAAGGGUGUGUAGGGGGCGCUGUAAGUCGGGUGUGAAAUUUCGGAGCUUAACCCCGGAACUGCAUUCGAUACUGCCUUGCUAGAGUACUGGAGAGGAGAUUGGAAUUUACGGUGUAGCAGUGAAAUGCGUAGAUAUCGUAAGGAAGACCAGUGGCGAAGGCGGAUCUCUGGACAGUUACUGACACUGAGGCACGAAGGCCAGGGGAGCAAACGGG